GCCUGGGUGGCUCAGUGGUUGAGCAUCAUGAUCCCAAGGUUGUGGGAUCAAGUCCCUCAUCAGGCU
rnacentral:tRNA from 1 species